rnacentral:rRNA from 1 species
GUGGAUUAGAUACCCUGGUAGUCCUGGCAGUAAACGGUGCACGCUUGGUGUGAGGGGAUUCGACCCCCCUUGUGCCGGAGCUAACGCGUUAAGCGUGCCGCCUGGGAAGUACGGUCGCAAGACUAAAACUCAAAGAAAUUGACGGGGACCCGCACAAGCGGUGGAGUAUGUGGCUUAAUUCGAUGCAACGCGAAGAACCUUACCAAGGCUUGACAUGGAUUUCUAAGCACGUGAAAGCGUGUGACCCUUCGGGGGACUUCCACAGGUGCUGCAUGGCCGUCGACAGCU